rnacentral:lncRNA from 1 species
AGUUUGAACUAGAUAAGCACUCACAGGAUUCAUUUGAAGGCUUAGAGAUAAUGCUGUGCUGGAUUAGUCUUAGUCUUCACAAAGAGGAACCUCAGAGGGUCACUAAAGUCUUCUAUCAAUGUCUGUAUUUUUGCCUCUGUGUACCAAGUGCACCCAAGUCCAUUCAUUGCCAGCUGAUGAGAGUCUGCAGGCCUGUUUGCUAUUUCGGCUAAUCAGGGAACAGUUCACAAAAACUCAGUUCUUCUUCUAAGUUUCUGGCCUCUCCUUCUGCUGUUGUGGAGACAGUUUUUGCUGUGAUGAGGCACAGAUCAUACAAUCUUUGAGAGUAAAAGGAUGGAUCAAGACCACAGGAAAGAAGGGAUGAAGCUGUGGAGAGUGAGGAUGAGGAACAUUGCAGAUGACUGGAGGCCAGCUCCCUGACCUUCCCCUACUGCCACUGCUGCAGGCCCUGGUCAGGGGAAGUAAAACUGACACUAGCUGUUUAUCAUGCUUUAAGACCAGAAAGUAAAAUGAAAACCAUUACCACCUCUCAGGAUGCAAGAAGGCACAAGAAAGGACUAAACCAGUUGAAGAUGUUAUCUCAAUGGAAGAAGGAAUCCUAAUUAAAUUGAAGUCUUAACAAAAAGACGGUCUAUUUCACAAGACUGAUAGAGACAUAUACUUGAUGAGUCAACUUGGUCUUUUCAAGGCUUUACUCUGGCUUCUCUUCUAUUUAUGUGUACGAUUAGAAGGAUAAACAGCCUAUAAGAGCUUGCUAUCUACCAAAUCCAACCAUGCAGUCUUAAAAAUUACUUCUGGGUUUACAGAUAAUUCUUGUAUCAAAUAAGUUGAUAUGAGGCACCAAGAAUUAGUAGGAUUGGACUAGAGUCAAACCCACUGCACUUAUCAAGGCUUUACCAGACCCUACUGUGUCCUUUAUGUGUUGAAGUCUAAGGAUAUCUAGAAACAUAUGGCAUGAUCACUGCCCUCAGGGAGCUGACAGCAUUGUAUGCUAGCAAGAGGCAAAAACAACAAAAGAGAAUGUAACUUAUAACUGACUGAAAGACCAAUGUGUCAUUUUGGAAGCAGAGAAGCCUGAUUUUGGGCAAACUUUUUAAUGAGAACUUGAGUUUUCGUAUCUGUAAGGUGAAAAUAAGACGAUCAACUUAUGGCUGAAAUGGCAAAGAUACAUUUCCUAUGAGACGGCCUUGUAUAUAAUAAGCAUUCAACACAUAAGAACAGUGAUGAUAAUGCUAAUAAUGAUAUAAUGAUGCCCCUAAGUGACAGAUAGAAAAUAAUUGGACUAUUAGGGAUAUCUCUACAAGCUGGAGUGGUUGAGCAAGGCACCUUAGGGUUAAUGGGAUCAGAACCCAGUGGUUCUGGGCCCUGAAGUAUGAACAAAGAUGCGUUUGGCAUUUACCAACAGUGAACAAGCACGAGCAGUGGAAUGCAAAAAUGUGUGUGCAUCAAAUGAACAUGAAAAUCUUCACCCAGGUCACCUGCCAGAAUCAAACUAAGGUUCCUGGUAUUUAAUGGAAAGGUUAAAAGAAGUUUAUAGCUUUAAUGCCUGUGGCACACUGAUUACUUUUCAAGAUUUUGAGGAUUAAAGCCUAUGAGAGUCUUUUGAGCAAGUUUGAACAGUGGUGUUGGGAAGCAUGAAUGGCAGGUGGCUGGUCUACAGAAUCUCAUCCAGGUUCAAGCUUUUGGACAUGAUGUUAUCAACACCCCACUCAGAUUUCAUGUUUCAU